rnacentral:snRNA from 1 species
AGCUUUGUACAGUGGCAGUAUCGUAGCCAGUGAGGUUUAUCUGAGGCACAGAUUAUUGCUAUUGUUUAAUUAUAAUUGAUGUAUAUUAUGAUUACAUUUGAUUUAUAAGAAGCUUUUAAGA